UACGGAGGGGGCUAGCGUUGUUCGGAAUUACUGGGCGUAAAGCGCACGUAGGCGGCUUUGCAAGUCAGAGGUGAAAGCCCGGGGCUCAACUCCGGAAUUGCCUUUAAGACUGCAUCGCUAGAAUUGUGGAGAGGUAAGUGGAAUUCUGAGUGUAGAGGUGAAAUUCGUAGAUAUUCGGAAGAACACCAGUGGCGAAGGCGACUUACUGGACACAUAUUGACGCUGAGUUGCGAAAGCGUGGGGAGCAAACAGG
rnacentral:rRNA from 1 species